GACGAACCGUGCUAACGUUAUUCGGAAUCACUGGGCUUAAAGCGCGUGUAGGCGGGCCAGCACGUCGGUCGCUGAAAUCCCCCGGCUUAACCGGGGAACGGGCGCCGAUACGACUGGCCUGGAGGGAGGUAGGGGGAGCCGGAACUCACGGUGGAGCGGUGAAAUGCGUUGAGAUCGUGAGGAACGCCCGUGGCGAAAGCGGGCUCCUGGACCUCGCCUGACGCUGAGACGCGAAAGCCAGGGGAGCGAACGGG
rnacentral:rRNA from 1 species